rnacentral:lncRNA from 1 species
AUUUUCUUAUUUUACAUUGGCGAUAGCUCACAACUUACUGGAAUCCCCUCCCAGUUGGCUACCUUAAAAUGGCGGAAGCUAACAAUGGCAAUGACUAUGCUAUCUAUGAUGAGUCCUCUAUCUAUCUCUAUGACAACAGGCACAACUGCAAUAUAAAGUCGUUUCCCGAAAUGCCACGUAGGUCUACUUAUAUCAGUGCAUUCAACCUAACCAUUUCAACAUUUCUAUUCGAUCAAAUAAGCCUCAGGUAGCAAAUGAGCAAUUACAUUUUUGUUGACCAAAUUCGACUCUCUCGUUCACCUACAUACAAAAAUUCCUCACUUCGUGGGUUUAUUUCAUGGAAAGAUUUUAGGCGGAGUAAAACCUCUCGCUUCGCCUUUUCCUCUCUGUUCUAGCGCAGAGCUCGCUGUUUCUAGCAAGUGUAAACAAAAGGAAAUUGACAUCUUGCAGUCUUGCAUAUCUUGGAAAAGGCAAUCGGCGGAUUAAGCUUUUUACUUGUUGAGUAAAUCGCUAGCUACAUUUAUAUAGUAGUGUGUUAUUUGAGUAUUCAAUUUUGUGUAUAUCCUCGCGCCUUUUAAUUUGAGCUUCAGAUUGAGCAGAAGAAGUGGAAGUCAAAACAUGGUGGAGACACGCACAGAGUCCUUGGAUGACAGCUCCGAUGAUGAACCCCUAAUUGCAUUAGUAAAGAAGAAGCCGCAGCACAUUGAACACAAUGGGACUCCGGGUGAAAAAGACCAAAACCGACAACCUGAACCUGAGUCAAAGAAUAGCACAAGAAAAGAUUCUGGGUUGGAUGACACCUCAGAUGAUGAGCCUUUGACGAAGUUGGUGAAUAAACUUCCCAGCGCUAAAAAAUCCACUGUACAAGCAAAGAGGCCAGGGAAUACUAAUAGCAAAAGAGGAACAGGUAAUGGCAUCAAGAAGACAAACAACAAAUUCACAGGUUCAACCCAGAAUGAGGAUUCCUAUGACAGCUCAGACGAUGAGCCCUUGAUAAAGAUGGUUAAAAAGAUCCCUAAACAGACAUCAUUGCCAUUCAAAAAGAGACCCUUCAACACAGCCAGAGAGGUGAACGAUGUGAAGAAGCGCAGAAAUAUCUCACAGAAUAAAAUAAGCACAGACUCAUCAUCAAGUGACAGCUCAGAUGACAUGCCCCUGACUAAGAUGGUCGACAAACUCAAGACACAAAUGCGAACGAAGACACCCACCACUACAGUCAGAAAAACACCUGGCAUUAAAAAGCCCAGGAAAGUUUUAAAAAAACACAACAGGAGUAUAGAGACCUCAGAUGACAGCUCUGAUGAUGAGCCAUUAAUAAAUCUGACCAAGAAGUCUCCAUCUAAAGAGACUGAAAGGACAAUGCUGAAGAAGUGUGUCGCUAAGGAAUCAAACAGCAACAACUGUAAUAAAAUUAAAGGGAAAAUAAGCAGAGAGGAAGAGGUGAGUUCUGAUGACGAGCCCUUGAUAAAUCUAGUCAAGAAGCCUCUUAAAGCUGUAAAGAAGACCACGACACCAUUAAAGAAGAGGAGCGUAUCAGGAAAGACUGUGGUAGCCAGAAAGAAGACGAGACCAGACAUUGUGAACAAAGCAGUCAUCAGACGGAGCACCAAAGUUGUUCAAAGCACACGUGAAGGGUCUUUGGAUGACAGCUCAGACGAUGGGCCCUUGAGUAAAAAGAUGGUGAGAAAUCCACCAAUGAAGAGCCUAAUGCUGAUUCUGGAGAGAUGUGACACUAAAGAAGUCUUGGAAGAUAACUAUAGAGCCAACGUGGGAAACACCAGUAAAAGAAGUGCAGAAACUAUGGCAGAGAAGGAAAAUAAGUCACAAACGGCCCUAACGAUGAACCUUUGAUAAGGAUGGUUGGGAAACCAAAGUCAUGUUCGAGGGAUAUUAUAGAUACUGGAAUAGUGACUUUGUUUUGGGAAAACGUUGAGUAACAAACUUGUCGGGAAGAUGACACAAUUGUUACUAACCCAACAACCCCAUUUUUUUAUUGCAUGAGUUUAGUGUUAUGGUGAAAAGAAAUAUGUGAAUUGUCUAAAUAUUUUGGUGAUCUGGAAUCGCUAUUUUCAUGUUAGAAUUUUUUAGUGUUUUAAAUUUUGUAACUUUUUUUAUAAUUUUUUAAAACAUUUUUUUUUUACCACUUGGAUGCUGGUGGUUUCAUGUCAAUAGCAUAUUUAUAACCAUGCAAAAGUUGACUCACUCAAUAGGUCAAUUUUUUUAAUUGUUGCCAGUACUGUCUCCAGCAUAAUGAAUUAUAGAGUACAUUUGUGUGAUGAAAUGCAAUACCUUACUCUGUUCCUUUUGACUGGAAUGGGCCAUCACUGGAAGCAGUACUAUACAAUGUAAAUGUUCUUGUUUCAGUCCAAGUAUAAGGGCUUCCCAUUCAAUUAGCUUCUAGACAUCAGAACUGGGAUUAUUCACCUCAAAUUGGACGAGGAGUUCUUCUUCAAUGAGUCGGACGCGAGGGAUAUACUGCAGAUAUCCGACCAGGCCCCGGUCCCCGUGAUUCGCUAGAGAAGGAAACUGAGAUUUCAAGGCAAAAGAUAAGGGUGCCUUCUGAGGAUCAGGCGACGAGUGGCUAAUCUGCCUUCCAUUCUGCUGGCUAACUGUCACGCUCUGACCUAUGAGAGCUGUUUUUUCUCUGUGUAGUUAGGUCAGGGUGUGAUAUGGGUGGGCAGUCUAUGUUUGUUGUUUCUAUGUUUAGUUCUUGUUUUUCUAUUUCUAUGUUGAGUUUUGGGAUGAUCUCCAAUUAGAGGCAGCUGGUUCGUGUUGUCUCUAAUUGGAGAUCAUAUUUAAGUUGGGGUUUUUCUAUGGUGUUUUGUGGGUAGUUGUUUUCCGUUUUGUGGUUGUUGCCUGACGGAACUGUUUGCUGUCGUUUUUGUUCCUUUGUAAAGUGUUUCAUUUUUUCAUUAAAUAAUAACCCUGAGCACUCAACACGCCGCGCCUUGGUCCCAUCUAUACGACUGCCGAGUCGUAUAGAGUCGUGGCUGAACGAUGACAUUAAGAACAUAUGUGGUAGAAACUCUGACUCAGAUGACCUGGGAGCCAACAACAAAGAGACCACAUUCAAGUCCUCCAUCCCCUCACUCAUUCAAACGUAGGAACUGGUUCCUCCAGUCUGUCCCCUGCUUCCAUCAUCAACUCCAGAUCUGUAAACAUUAAAACCAAUAGAGGAUGACAACGAAAAUACUAUAGGCCUAUACGAAUUCCGUCAUUACAAUGAAACAAAUAUACUCCAAGAGAUAUGUAAUCUGGUGUCAUUAUCUCCAUCAUAAUCAUCCUGCAUCAUACCACCCUCCCUUCCUCUUCUUCUUCUAUGGCAUAUUGGUUUGAUUCGAAUUUAGCAUCCACUUCUGCCAUAUUCUUUUCCUCUUGGGUGUCUAUUUUGUCACAGGGCU